rnacentral:rRNA from 2 species
UGCUGCAUGCAAAUAUAUACGGUAAGUACUGCUCAGUGCCCUUGGGGUAAACAGCGGCGUAAAGUUUUAAAGUAGCGAAAUACCUAGCCCUUUAAUUGGGGGCGUGCAUGAAUGUAUAAACGAGGGAAAAACUGUCUCUUUCGUAUAGGCUGAAAUUGAAUUUCAAGUGAAGUUGCUUGAAUUCUUCUAAAAGACGACAAGACCCCAGCAGUUUUACCUAAGUAAAGAUAGAUUUUUGUGAUGGAUUGGCUGGGGCAGCAGGAGAAUAGGCAAAAUUUCUCCCCCUUUAGAGAAAUUUUAAAUGGCGGUUAAAGAGCUAGCACGGCUAAUCAAGGGCAUGAGUUACGCUGGGGGUAACAGGACGGUCUGAAAAUGGAGGGCAUAUCGGUUUUUGGGUGCGUUACAUCGAUGUUGAAUCAGGGGUACGCCUGGGUGCAGGAGCUCAGGUUAAAGGGUCUGUUCGACCUUUAGAGCCCU